rnacentral:rRNA from 1 species
UGCGUAGGUGGCGUCGUAAGUCGGGUGUGAAAUCUCGGGGCUUAACUCCGAAACUGCAUUCGAUACUGCGGUGCUUGAGGACUGGAGAGGAGACUGGAAUUUACGGUGUAGCAGUGAAAUGCGUAGAGAUCGUAAGGAAGACCAGUGGCGAAGGCGGGUCUCUGGACAGUUCCUGACACUGAGGCACGAAGGGCCAGGGGAGGCAAACG